AAUCAGUCGCCGCUGCCAGCACAGAAUAUAUGAGAUUCGCACGACAGUCAACGUGUUGAUAACGAAAUAACAAAGAGAGUAAUCGGAAUGAAAUAAACGAAAAUCGUUCACUGCGACGAAACGACCGUACACGUCUAACCAGAAAAGACGAGGAUCGAGAUCAAGUGGCGUGACAGGUGUGGACGAUUGCCUUAACCGGUGUACGGUAAUAUCACGAUAUCACACAGAGAUAACGAUUGGUCUCGAAUGCAGUCGAGGCACGAUUGUCCGACAAGGGGCGCCGGUUAAUUGGCCAAUCGAUGGUGAUUUUAUCUCGUUCCCUUUUCCGAUCAAACUGGCACAGUAGGAUCGCUAAACACGUACUGGAAACGUAUACGAAAUGGUUUGAGGGUCGAUGGAGCCCGCGCAGGCCAGGAUGCUUCACAUGCGCACCGACCUCUCUUUCUUCUUUCGUAACGAGAAAGGACAAAGCGAACCAUUGGAUCAGUCGAGAUAAUUAAUCCUUCAAGUUAAGUUACUUAUUCCUAACUAAAUUAAGUUAUUUUAUUUAAGUAUUUAUUCUGUUGAUUUCGGUUGAGUUCAAAAUUCAUCUCACCAUAUAUUUACUUCCAUUUUUAUUUUAUUUAUUUGUCUGUAGCUUGGACUCAAAAAUUUACGAAUUAAUGAAACAUUACAAGAAGAUUGUUCGCUUCUUGUUUCUUAUAUUAUAUCACUAUUAUAUUAAUUAGAUCUUUC
rnacentral:misc_RNA from 1 species